UACGUAGGAGGCAAGCGUUGUCCGGAAUCAUUGGGCGUAAAGCGCGCGUAGGCGGCGGCACAAGUCAGGGGUGAAAUCCCACAGCUCAACUGUGGAAUUGCCUUUGAAACUAGGUCGCUAGAGUGUCGGAGGGGAUAGCGGAAUUGCUAAUGUAGAGGUGAAAUUCGUAGAUAUUAGCAGGAACACCGGUGGCGAAGGCGGCUAUCUGGACGACAACUGACGCUGAGGCGCGAAAGCGUGGGGAUCAAACAGG
rnacentral:rRNA from 1 species